GUCCACGCCGUAAACGGUGGAUGCUGGAUGUGGGGACCAUUCCACGGUCUCCGUGUCGGAGCCAACGCGUUAAGCAUCCCGCCUGGGGAGUACGGCCGCAAGGCUAAAACUCAAAGAAAUUGACGGGGGCCCGCACAAGCGGCGGAGCAUGCGGAUUAAUUCGAUGCAACGCGAAGAACCUUACCUGGGCUUGACAUGUUCCCGACAUCCCCAGAGAUGGGGCCUCCCUUCGGGGCGGUUCACAGGUGGUGCAUGGUCGUCGU
rnacentral:rRNA from 1 species